AUCCUGGCUCAGGACGAACGCGGCGGCGUGCCUAAUACAUGCAAGUCGAGCGCGGGAAGCAGGCAGAUCCUCUUCGGAGGUGACGCCUGUGGAACGAGCGGCGGACGGGUGAGUAACACGUGGGCAACCUGCCUGUAAGAUUGGGAUAACCCCGGGAAACCGGGGCUAAUACCGGAUAAUACUUUUCGUUGCAUAACGAGAAGUUGAAAGGCGGCUUUUAGCUGUCACUUACAGAUGGGCCCGCGGCGCAUUAGCUAGUUGGUAAGGUAACGGCUUACCAAGGCGACGAUGCGUAGCCGACCUGAGAGGGUGAUCGGCCACACUGGGACUGAGACACGGCCCAGACUCCUACGGGAGGCAGCAGUAGGGAAUCUUCCGCAAUGGACGAAAGUCUGACGGAGCAACGCCGCGUGAGUGAUGAAGGUUUUCGGAUCGUAAAACUCUGUUGUCAGGGAAGAACAAGUGCCGUUCAAAUAGGGCGGCACCUGACGGUAC
rnacentral:rRNA from 1 species